rnacentral:lncRNA from 1 species
UUGGGAUGCUUCCAUGUAGGUGGUUUCCUCCAAGUGCAAGCGCUCGGAGAUUGAUUGAGAGAUUGGAUAUUGAUGUGGGCAACGUCCCUCCAAAAUUAUUGUCCUUGAACUGCAAUAUAUUUAGUUGUUACCUGCAAUCUAUGCAAAUUCCCAAUUUGAGGAGGGAUGUGAUGAGUGAAGCUAUUGUUCUCGAAAAUUAGCACUCUUAAGAAGCUUAGAUUUCCGAUGUGUGGAGAUAUGGAUCCCCCCAAAGCUAGAGAGCCCAAGUCCAGCUUCGUCACCUUUUGGCGAUGUCGUCGACUGCAGGUGAUGCCGUGCCACUGGCAAAAGUGAAGGGUUUCAUUCCAUGAGCUUGUGACCCGGUUGGGAUCAUGUUGUAUUUGAGCUUUGAUUGCUAGCAAUGCCAGCCUAUCCGUCUCAUUCCCUUCGAGUCUAGGAUGGUUCAAUUGCAUGAAGCUACAACAGAAACUGGACAUGGAAUUUAAAACUAAUGAGUAUAUCAAAACCAAUUUCAUAACCAAAACUCUCCCCAUUUUUAGUUUCUUCUUUAGACUAAAGGGAUUGAGAUACAUAUGGGUGGUGCUGGGUUGUGAAAUAGGUAGUUUUAUGUGAGGCAUGACAAUCUAAUUUAUGGGAUAGGAAGAUUUAGAAUAUGUGAUCAACAAGUACUCGAAGGGAUGGAGAACCAACCACUGUUGAUUGAUUCAUUGCAUUCUUCCAAAACAAGACCGACUUAACUCGCUUGCUUCCAACUAGAGACGACUCUCGUUUUCCAAAGGCAACUGUUGUUAGUGUGUACUAUGGGGCGAGCGUCUGCUGACCACCCCCGGGUGGAUGUCUAACUGGGUUUUAACAAUGCGUGGCUUUCACGCUCUGUUGAUGUUAGGAGUACCAAAAAAAAAUUUUGAGGUCAGUAAAUUUAUGUUUACUGUGCCAUAAAGAUGAUGACCGACCGAAAUUUGAAUUUCAUCAACCCUAACUUUUGCCUCCGCCGCACAGAGCUGCUUUGGGAGGAGUUCACACUUUGAAUCUCAUCAACCCAAACUUUUUGCCUCCAGUCGUCCCCAUCGCUUGCCCCGAUACCUCACACCCACCAUGUACCACCCCCGCCGGGCUGUUAUCCUCCGCCACCGCCACCGCCUCCUCCUUAUUUUGCAUUAUCACCCUCAAUCUCGCCUUCAGCUACCUCCUCAGCAGCUCAAUCAGGUAGAAUGAAAGGA